rnacentral:ncRNA from 1 species
UUUUUAUUUUAAUAAUAAUAAUUUAUUUUAUUAUAAAAUUUUACUUGAUUAAAAAAAUAUAUGAAAAAUUUUAAUUGUUAAAUUAAUUCUUAAUGAAUAUUAAUAAUUCUCAAUAUUUAAUAUUAAAUAUUAAUGAAAUUUAGAUUUAAUUAUUAAUUUAAGUAUAAACUAAUUAUGUGCCAGCAGUUGCGGUUAAACAUAAUAUACAAGUAAAAUAGUUUAGUUAAUAGUAAUUAAUUAAUUUUUAUAUUUUAAUUUUUUUAAAUAAGGUAAAAUUUAAUUUAAAAUUAUUAUUGUAAUUAUUAUAUUCUAUUAAAUUUUAUUUUAAAACUAGGAUUAGAUACCCUAUUAUAUUAAUUUAAAUUUAUUUACUGGAAAAUUAAUAGUUAAGUUCUUUAAAUUUAAAAAAUUUGGCGGUAUUUUAGUCUUAUUAGAGGAACCUGGGUUUUAAUUGAUAGUCCACGAUUAAUUUUACUUAUUUUAAAGAUUCAUAUAUCGCUGUCAUGAAUAUAUUAAUAAAUUAAUUUUCUUUAAUUAUUUUUUUAAUUUAUGUUAAGUCAAGAUGUGGUUUAUAAAUAAGAUAAUACUGGGUUACAAUAAAUUUAAUUUUUAGUAUUUAUUUAUGAAAAAUUUAAAUUAAAUUGGAUUUAAUAGUAAGUUUAUUUAUUUAAUUAUUAUGAAUAUAGAUCUAAAAUAUGUACAUAUUGCCCGUCAUUCUUAUUAAAGGUAAGACAAGUCGUAACAAAGUAAAUGUACUGGAAAGUGUAUUUAGAAAGA